CCCGCUUGGCGCCGCCGCUGUGCACACCUCCACACUUGUGCCGUGGCCCACUCUGUGCUCGCGUGCCCCGCCGCUGCUGCGCUUCUUGCCAUAGUGCCACCGCUACUCCGGACCACCGCUCCGCGUCGUUGAACACCGCCGCACCGCACCGUGGUCAUCGUAGCUCCGAGUCAUAGCACCUCGGCUGCUCCGGACCGCCACUCCGCUCAGCCAUAGCACAGACACUACUCCAACCUGCUGCCAUGGCUUCAUGCCGUAGCACCGCCGCUGCUCCGAACCACCGCUCCAACGCAGGCAAGGUCGCCACUGCCGUCGCAUCCCAAGAUUCAACGAGGUGAGCCCCUCCCAUUGCAGGGCCAUGGCAUGGCGGCGCUGCUCGAGCCUCUCCUCCCUGCACAGAUCCAUGGCGUUGGUGGCACCACGCGAGGCCCUCCACCCUGCUCAGGCCCCCAUGGCGGCGCAGCACGAGAUCAUCGACCAAAUGCUAUAGUGGUACUGGAUGACCGUCCUACUAUGUAUAUGUUGUGACUGGAUAUGGAGAUGAAUGGAGGUGUAGCAGCUACUGUAUAACUGUCGAAGGGCUUAUAGGGGGGACAUAUCUACAGAUGGAACCCAUCAAUGCAAAUGACCCUUAUUGAUAGAGCCGGAGUGCCCAAUCUUUCGGUGAGUGGGGAUAAAUUCGACUUGGCGGAAGAUGACCCUCACGAUCCGACUACGACGAGCGAAACCCGAAGCGCCAAUGCAAUCGCUGAACCAACUCCCUGUGGUUACCGACCUUGUUGAUGCAAGAUCAGCCUGAUCACGAAGAUCGUUUCCUGUCCGCAAUCGAAGAACGAACAAGAAAAGGAUGCGAGCAAUCUGAUUAUCUCUCGAAGGUGGAGUUCUGAAUACACGAGGACAGCGCUGAUUUGCACGUGUUCUAGAGUAGCUAAAGCUAGAUGUAAAACAAAACUCGAGUCUGAAUUGAAAAGAAACCUCUCUCUAAAUAGAGGGAGAGGGG